GAGUUAAUAGUAUAAGAGAAUAUUUUCCGCUUACACCGGAGAGAUGGGAUAACCUUAACUUA
rnacentral:tRNA from 1 species